rnacentral:lncRNA from 1 species
GUCGCUGCCCUGGUGUUCUCCUCGUCACACCUGUGUGCGCCGAGUCUGUGUUCUGUUGACGGAGCGUGGCUGGUGCUUUGUAUACCCCUGACCUUUCAGUGUUGCUUCGCACAUCUUUUUCGUUGCGUGGCACAUUAUAUGGAGUCGGCGGCCGUUUAGUUGUAAUUUUCUUUUUGCUCUUGUUAGCUAGACUGCGUGUGACCCUUGAUUUAGUCAAGGCGUAUGGUACUGGCAUAUAUUUGCUCUCUUUGUCGGUGCCGGUUUGUUUCUUGUCCCGCUGUUUGGGUUGGUUGGUUGCUCGUGCUCGGUGGUGGAUUCUGUCAAUGUGGUGCUUGCUGUGUCCGUGUGCAUGUCCGGUGGCAUAGAUGUGUUUGGGUUCGUCCUGCAAUUGUUUGCUGUCGGUGGUGUGCUCGUGUGCUCGUUUGGAAUGGAGGCGGAAUGCGGCUGCUUUGUGUGAUGCAGGGUCGGGGGACCAAUACGGUGUUGGGACCGGCUGGUGGGA